GUAUUCCGCUCCAUAGCGUAUAUUAAAGUUGCUGCAGUUAAAAAGCUCGUAGUUGAAUUUCGGAACCAAUAUGUUGGUUGUGCCUCGGUACGUACUGGCAUUGUUGGUUUCUCCCUUCUGACGAACUAUGAUGUCAUUAAUUUGGUGUCAUGGGGAAUCAGGACUGUUACUUUGAAAAAAUUAGAGUGUUUAAAGCAGGCUCACGCUUGAAUACAUUAGCAUGGAAUAAUGAAAUAGGACGUUUGAUUCUAUUUUGUUGGUUUCUAGGAUUGACGUAAUGAUUAAUAGGGAUAGUUGGGGGCAUUAGUAUUCAAUUGUCAGAGAUGAAAUUCUUGGAUUUAUUGAAGACUAACUACUGCGAAAGCAUUUGCCAAGGAUGUUUUCAUUAAUCAAGAACGAAAGUUAGGGGAUCGAAGACGAUCAGAUACCGUCGUAGUCUUAACCAUAAACUAUGCCGACUAGGGAUCGGAUGAUGUUAAUUUUUUAAUGACUCAUUCGGCGCCUUACGGGAAACA
rnacentral:rRNA from 1 species